rnacentral:rRNA from 1 species
UACGGGGGGGGCAAGCGUUGUUCGGAAUUACUGGGCGUAAAGGGCCAGUAGGCGGCCAACUAAGUCGGAUGUGAAAUCCCCAGGCUUAACCUGGGAACUGCAUCCGAUACUGGAUGGCUUGAAUUCGGGAGAGGGAUGCAGAAUUCCAGGUGUAGCGGUGAAAUGCGUAGAUAUCUGGAGGAACACCGAUGGCGAAGGCGGCAUCCUGGACCGACACUGACGCUGAUGCGCGAAAGCCAGGGGAGCAAACGGG